GUGAGGGAGGGUGUGACUAGUGACAGUUAGGCAGGGAAGGGGUGACUAGUGACAGAGGGAGGGGUGACUAGGGACAGAGUGAGGAAGGUGGUGACUAGUGACAGUCACCACCUCCCUCACUCUGUCACUAGUCACCACCUCCCUCCGUCACUGUGUCACCCCCUCCCUCACUCUGUCACCAGUCAUCCCCUUACUCUGUCACUAGUCACCCCUCCCUCAC